rnacentral:rRNA from 1 species
AACGAACGCUGGCGGCAGGCUUAACACAUGCAAGUCGAACGCCCCGCAAGGGGAGUGGCAGACGGGUGAGUAACACGUGGGAACCUUCCUCGAUGUACGGAACAACUCAGGGAAACUUGAGCUAAUACCGUAUACGUCCGAGAGGGGAAAGAUUUAUCGCAUUGAGGCGGGCCCGCGUCGGAUUAGCUAGUUGGUAAGGUAACGGCUUACCAAGGCAACGAUCCGUAGCUGAUCUGAGAGGAUGAUCAGCCACACUGGGACUGAGACACGGCCCAGACUCCUACGGGAGGCAGCAGUGGGGAAUCUUGGACAAUGGGCGCAAGCCUGAUCCAGCCAUGCCGCGUGAGUGAAGAAGGCCUUCGGGUUGUAAAGCUCUUUUGUCAGGGACGAUAAUGACGGUACCUGAAGAAUAAGCCCCGGCAAACUUCGUGCCAGCCGCCGCAGUAA